UACGUAGGGGGGCAAGCGUUGUCCGGAUUUAUUGGGCGUAAAGAGCGUGUAGGCGGCCAGAUAGGUCUGCUGUGAAAACUCGAGGCUCAACCUCGAGAUGUCGGCGGAAACCAUUUGGCUAGAGUCCGGAAGAGGAAAGUGGAAUUCCUGGUGUAGCGGUGAAAUGCGCAGAUAUCAGGAAGAACACCCGUGGCGAAGGCGGCUUUCUGGGACGGUACUGACGCUGAGACGCGAAAGCGUGGGGAGCGAACAGG
rnacentral:rRNA from 1 species